UUUCAUCCUGUGUGUUCCACUUCAACAGCAAGUUGUACAUUCUUGACAGUAAAUAUUAAUUUUCAGGUCUUGUAUGUGGAGUCUACUUUAUCACUCAGGCUUGAAGGUGAAACUGCUACAUCACUCUAAAGAACUAAAAAAAUAGCUUACAUAAACACAUGGAGUUGGUUUGACAGGGACUGUAACUCAAGGAAAAAAUAACUGACCGAAUUAACCUGGCUCUUAUUGAGGAGAAUUAAUUCAUAUUUUGGAACCUAAUUCAGUGAUGUUUUGUAGAUAAACCUUUUGAGUCUGUACCUUCAACAAUACCUGAAAUAUGCAGAUCCCAUCUGAAUUCAGUCAAGUUCUUACCUGCCCACUUGACUGGGCUGCUAUACAGGUAUUUUCCAUUUGAAGGGGGGCAGUUAAUCAAUCCAGACAUUAAGAUUUAUGUGCCAAAGAUCACUGCCCAAAUGCUUUACAGGGCUGAGGUCAGGAGAAUUAGUGUGAAAUCCGAACUAGAAGGCAGAUUUUGGGGCUUCCUCCUGGGAUUCUGGUGGCUCAUCUGAGUUGGGUCACCCCUCAAUAAGAGGCCAGAACUGAUCUAUCCUAUCUCAGAUAUUGGUCAAAACAAAAAAAUUUCUUCCAGUAGCACCUUAAAGACCAACUAAGUUAUCAGAUAUUGGUGUUAUUUUUUAAUACAGUUAAAAGUUGGAGGGAAAGAAAGAAGGGGAGAGAGGGCGUAGUAAACUGGUUCUUUUACACAGCCUAUGUGCAAGGUUUUUGUGUCAGCAAAGUCGAAGGAAAUGGGGAGUCUCCCCAUUGUUUCUUUGCUCACAAAUCCUGUCUCAGUGGCACGUUUAAGAUAUAAAUAGGGUGAGCCUGUGGCCUGGAUUCAGGGACUGAGUAGUUAUCAUAACAAAGGAGUGGCCAGGAUGCCCAGGUAAUCCAAUCAGGUAACCUGGCAGACAGGAUAAAAACAACUCGCUCAGAUUUCUGUUGUAGUCCGCCCCUUGUCUGAUGUACAUAUGAUGUAAUUAGGGGGUGGUCCUGGGCUACACCCCUUCUGUGAUGUAUGUAUGAUGUAUGGAGGGGUGGUUUUGAGAUACAGGGUGGGCAGUUCAAAAGUCUAUAUAAGGGCUGGCACACCUUUGUCCUGGGUCGUCGUCCUCUCUUCUGAGUGUGGGGCGAGCACCCUGUUGCAACAGCUUUAAUAAAAAUCAGGCUUACUAGCUGUUUUGGUUCUCAA